GACGAACGCUGGCGGCGUGCUCAACACGUGCAAGUCGAACGGAAAGGCCCUGCUUUGGUGGGGUGCUCGAGUGGCGAACGGGUGAGUAACACGUGAGUAACCUGCCCUUGACGUUGGGAUAACUUCAGGAAACUGGGGCUAAUACGGGAUAGGAGCGACUGCUGCAGGGUGGGGGUGGGAAAGUUUCGGCGGUUGGGGAUGGACUCGCGGCUUAUCAGCUUGUUGGUGGGGUAGUGGCUUACCAAGUCUUUGACGGGUAGCCGGCCUGAGAGGGUGACCGGCCACAUUGGGACUGAGAUACGGCCCAGCCUCCUACGGGAGGCAGCAGUGGGGAAUAUUGCACUAUGGGCGGAAGCCUGAUGCAGCAACGCCGCGUGCGGGAUGACGGCCUUCGGGUUGUACACCGCUUUCGCCUGUGACGAAGCGUGAGUGACGGUAAUGGGUAAAGAAGCACCGGCUAACUACGUG
rnacentral:rRNA from 1 species